rnacentral:rRNA from 1 species
GAACGGUAACAUUGGUGCUUGCACCAGAUGACGAGUGGCGCACGGGUGCGUAACGCGUAUGCAAUCUACCUUUUACUGAAGAAUAGCCCAGAGAAAUUUGGAAUAAUCCUUCAUAAUAUCAUUUAUCAGCAUUGAUUUAUGAUUAAAGCUCCGGCGGUAAAAGAUGAGCGUGCGUCCUAUUAGUUUGUUGGUGAGGUAACGGCUCACCAAGACUACGAUAGGUAGGGGCCCUGAGAGGGGGAUCCCCCACACUGGUACUGAGACACGGACCAGACUCCUACGGGAGGCAGCAGUGAGGAAUAUUGGACAAUGGAGGCAACUCUGAUCCAGCCAUGCCGCGUGCAGGAUGACUGCCCUAUGGGUUGUAAACUGCUUUUAUAUAGGAAGAAACACUCCCACGUGUGGGGGCUU